UUGAACUACAUUCAUCCACUUUCAAACAAUAAUUUUUCCGCUAUUUUUCUUCUAUUUUAUUUUUAUAUUCUUUUUUUCUUCUUUUUCAGAAGGAAUAUGUAAUGACAUCCUUCUUUUAUUUUUCUAUUUUUAUUCAUUUUUAUUUAUUUAUUUUCUUUUGCUGUCAACUUUUUGAAUCAAAUAUCACAAUUAUAAUUAUUCAACCCCACACAACUCCAAACAAAACUCUUUCGAUCCUAUGAAUGAGUGAGAACAUUGUUUUUUACUUUUAGGCUUAUAAUAAGUUUAAACAAAGAAUGAGAUAAUAGACUCAAGGGGUUUUCAAACAAGGGAUGAUAUUAUUCAGGGUUGACUUUUUGGCUACUGGCUAAAAAAUAAACAAAACAAAAAUAAGUUUCAUUUAUCAUAUCAGUGUGCACAAGUAAACACAAAACUUCAACAAGAGUCAAUUCAAGUUCUAGAGACUAACAAACAUGAGUGAAACACACAAGAAAAAAAAGAUGGAUUUUUGAAUGUUAUCCAUUAUUAGACUCAAAAUCUCACAAGGUAAAUGAUCUACCACAAAUUAUGUACAAUUUAGAGUUUAGUCCUACAUAUCAUACUAAGAAUAUACAAAAAGAAUCAAUCACACCACACCACAAGUCUUUAAUCAAGAGAACAAAGAAAAUGCUCAUAAUUGUAACUCAAAAACCAAAAGAAAAAACAAACAAAAAUAAAGAAACUGAAUGAAAUAAAA
rnacentral:lncRNA from 1 species